rnacentral:rRNA from 1 species
UACGUAGGGUGCAAGCGUUGUCCGGAAUUAUUGGGCGUAAAGAGCUCGUAGGCGGUUUGUCGCGUCUGCUGUGAAAACGCGAGGCUCAACCUCGCGCCUGCAGUGGGUACGGGCAGACUAGAGUGCGGUAGGGGGAGAUUGGAAUUCCUGGUGUAGCGGUGAAAUGCGCAGAUAUCAGGAAGAACACCAGCGGCGAAGGCGGCACUCGUGGGCCGGUACUGACGCUGAGGAGCGAAAGCGUGGGUAGCAAACAGG